AGCGAACGCUGGCGGCAGGCCUAACACAUGCAAGUCGAACGAACUCUUCGGAGUUAGUGGCGGACGGGGGAGUAACACGUGGGAACGUGCCGUUUGGUUCGGAGUAACUCAGGGAAACUUGUGCUAAUACAGAAUGAGCCCUUCGGGGAAAGGAUACAUCCCACGGGUAGCGGCCGGGGACUGUUAGGUUUUUUGCGGUGGUAGGAGCCGACGUCGGAUUCGAUAGUUAGCGGGGUAAAGGGUAAGCAAGGCGACGCUCGGUAGCUGGGCUGUGAGAAUGACCAGCGACACUGAGACUGAGCAGCAGUCGAGACUCCUACGGGAGGCAGCAGUGGGUAAUCUAGCGAAAUGGGGGAAAGCAUGACGCAGCCAUGGUGCGUGAAUGAUGAAGGUGUUAGGAUUGUAAAAUUCUUUAACCGGGGACGAUAAUGACGGUACCCAAAGAAGAAGCCCCGGCUAACUUCGUG
rnacentral:rRNA from 1 species